GGGGGGUUUGUUGACAUGUGUCCUCUUUUUUGUCUUUUUACAUUUUAGAUUCUUCUUCUUUUAGACUAUUGCAAUUUGGUUCAUUAUUUUCUAAUUAUGCACUAUCUAAUUUUUCUCACACUAACUAUCAUCAUUUGAAGUUUGAUAAUCUAUUUUAUUGUUCAAAAAAUUUCAAAACGAAUAAAGAAAUAAGUAAAAAAAUAUAAAUGUAUUUUAAUAUUUAAUUUAUUCACUGCUAAAAAUAACAUAAACUUUCGCUAUUUUAUUAUUUUUUACUAUUUUCUAUUAUUUCUUUACAACUAUAUAUUUAUCUUAAUAUUAACCAAAUUAAAUCAAAACACAUAAUCUAAACAUAAAACAUCCAUAACCAUAGAGAAAAAAAUACCAAAGUAACACUAACUCAAUAAAGGUCCAGAGCUCAAAGGCGAUCAAGAACGAAAAUUAACUUACCCCACUUUAUCAUUAAGUGUCUUGGCCAGAACAAUCAAAAGUCAGAAAAAUGUAGAAAGAUAAUCUUGAGAUAAAGCAAUCGCUCGAACACAAAGGAGCGUGAUCAAAGAGCAAUGUAAAGAACCAAGAAAGCGGGUUAGAGGAAAAAUAAUCAACAGAAGGCUAAAAUCACCACGAAGCAUGAAGAGACAUACAUAACGAACGAUAAGGACAACCACCAGCUAAGA
rnacentral:lncRNA from 1 species